rnacentral:rRNA from 1 species
AUCUCCGGGGGUAGAGCACUGUUUCGGCAAGGGGGUCAUCCCGACUUACCAACCCGAUGCAAACUGCGAAUACCGGAGAAUGUUAUCACGGGAGACACACGGCGGGUGCUAACGUCCGUCGUGAAGAGGGAAACAACCCAGACCGCCAGCUAAGGUCCCAAAGUCAUGGUUAAGUGGGAAACGAUGUGGGAAGGCCCAGACAGCCAGGAUGUUGGCUUAGAAGCAGCCAUCAUUUAAAGAAAGCGUAAUAGCUCACUGGUCGAGUCGGCCUGCGCGGAAGAUGUAACGGGGCUAAACCAUGCACCGAAGCUGCGGCAGCGACGCUUAUGCGUUGUUGGGUAGGGGAGCGUUCUGUAAGCCUGUGAAGGUGUACUGUGAGGUAUGCUGGAGGUAUCAGAAGUGCGAAUGCUGACAUAAGUAACGAUAAAGCGGGUGAAAAGCCCGCUCGCCGGAAGACCAAGGGUUCCUGUCCAACGUUAAUCGGGGCAGGGUGAGUCGACCCCUAAGGCGAGGCCGAAAGGCGUAGUCGAUGGGAAACAGGUUAAUAUUCCUGUACUUGGUGUUACUGCGAAGGGGGGACGGAGAAGGCUAUGUUGGCCGGGCGACGGUUGUCCCGGUUUAAGCGUGUAGGCUGGUUUUCCAGGCAAAUCCGGAAAAUCAAGGCUGAGGCGUGAUGACGAGGCACUACGGUGCUGAAGCAACAAAUGCCCUGCUUCCAGGAAAAGCCUCUAAGCAUCAGGUAACAUCAAAUCGUACCCCAAACCGACACAGGUGGUCAGGUAGAGAAUACCAAGGCGCUUGAGAGAACUCGGGUGAAGGAACUAGGCAAAAUGGUGCCGUAACUUCGGGAGAAGGCACGCUGAUAUGUAGGUGAAGCGACUUGCUCGUGGAGCUGAAAUCAGUCGAAGAUACCAGCUGGCUGCAACUGUUUAUUAAAAACACAGCACUGUGCAAACACGAAAGUGGACGUAUACGGUGUGACGCCUGCCCGGUGCCGGAAGGUUAAUUGAUGGGGUCAGCGCAAGCGAAGCUCUUGAUCGAAGCCCCGGUAAACGGCGGCCGUAACUAUAACGGUCCUAAGGUAGCGAAAUUCCUUGUCGGGUAAGUUCCGACCUGCACGAAUGGCGUAAUGAUGGCCAGGCUGUCUCCACCCGAGACUCAGUGAAAUUGAACUCGCUGUGAAGAUGCAGUGUACCCGCGGCAAGACGGAAAGACCCCGUGAACCUUUACUAUAGCUUGACACUGAACAUUGAGCCUUGAUGUGUAGGAUAGGUGGGAGGCUUUGAAGUGUGGACGCCAGUCUGCAUGGAGCCGACCUUGAAAUACCACCCUUUAAUGUUUGAUGUUCUAACGUUGACCCGUAAUCCGGGUUGCGGACAGUGUCUGGUGGGUAGUUUGACUGGGGCGGUCUCCUCCUAAAGAGUAACGGAGGAGCACGAAGGUUGGCUAAUCCUGGUCGGACAUCAGGAGGUUAGUGCAAUGGCAUAAGCCAGCUUGACUGCGAGCGUGACGGCGCGAGCAGGUGCGAAAGCAGGUCAUAGUGAUCCGGUGGUUCUGAAUGGAAGGGCCAUCGCUCAACGGAUAAAAGGUACUCCGGGGAUAACAGGCUGAUACCGCCCAAGAGUUCAUAUCGACGGCGGUGUUUGGCACCUCGAUGUCGGCUCAUCACAUCCUGGGGCUGAAGUAGGUCCCAAGGGUAUGGCUGUUCGCCAUUUAAAGUGGUACGCGAGCUGGGUUUAGAACGUCGUGAGACAGUUCGGUCCCUAUCUGCCGUGGGCGCUGGAGAACUGAGGGGGGCUGCUCCUAGUACGAGAGGACCGGAGUGGACGCAUCACUGGUGUUCGGGUUGUCAUGCCAAUGGCACUGCCCGGUAGCUAAAUGCGGAAGAGAUAAGUGCUGAAAGCAUCUAAGCACGAAACUUGCCCCGAGAUGAGUUCUCCCUGACUCCUUGA